rnacentral:rRNA from 1 species
UACAGAGGUCUCAAGCGUUGUUCGGAUUCAUUGGGCGUAAAGGGUGCGUAGGUGGCGGGGUUAGUCAGGUGUGAAAUCUCGGAGCUCAACUCCGAAACUGCACUUGAUACUGCCUUGCUUGAGUACUGGAGAGGAGAUUGGAAUUUACGGUGUAGCAGUGAAAUGCGUAGAUAUCGUAAGGAAGACCAGUGGCGAAGGCGAAUCUCUGGACAGUUACUGACACUGAGACGCGAAAGCGUGGGGAGCGAACAGG